rnacentral:rRNA from 1 species
GACGGAGGGUGCUAGCGUUGUUCGGAAUCACUGGGCGUAAAGGGCGCGUAGGCGGCCCCUCGCGUCGGACGUGAAAGCCCGGGGCUCAACCCCGGAACGGCGUCCGAUACGGGGGGGGCUCGGAGCCGGGAGAGGGGGGUGGAAUACCCAGUGUAGAGGUGAAAUUCGUAGAUAUUGGGUGGAACACCGGUGGCGAAAGCGGCCCCCUGGACCCGG